GAUGAACGCUGGCGGCGUGCCUAAUACAUGCAAGUCGAGCGAACGGACGAGAAGCUUGCUUCUCUGAUGUUAGCGGCGGACGGGUGAGUAACACGUGGAUAACCUACCUAUAAGACUGGGAUAACUUCGGGAAACCGGAGCUAAUACCGGAUAAUAUUUUGAACCGCAUGGUUCAAAAGUGAAAGACGGUCUUGCUGUCACUUAUAGAUGGAUCCGCGCUGCAUUAGCUAGUUGGUAAGGUAACGGCUUACCAAGGCAACGAUGCAUAGCCGACCUGAGAGGGUGAUCGGCCACACUGAAACUGAGACACGGUCCAGACUCCUACGGGAGGCAGCAGUAGGGAAUCUUCCGCAAUGGGCGAAAGCCUGACGGAGCAACGCCGCGGGAGUGAUGAAGGUCUUCGGUUCGUAAAACUCUGUUAUUAGGGAAGAACAUAUGUGUAAGUAACUGUGCACAUCUUGACGGUACCAAAUCAGAAAGCCACGGCUAACUCCGU
rnacentral:rRNA from 1 species